rnacentral:rRNA from 1 species
GAAUCUGGCUUUAGGUCUGGGACAACCACUGGAAACGGUGGCUAAUACCGGAUGUGCCGAGAGGUGAAAGGUUAACUGCCUAGAGAUGAGCUCGCGUCUGAUUAGCUAGUAGGUAGUGUAAUGGACUACCUAGGCGACGAUCAGUAGCUGGUCUGAGAGGACGAUCAGCCACACUGGGACUGAGACACGGCCCAGACUCCUACGGGAGGCAGCAGUGGGGAAUUUUCCGCAAUGGGCGAAAGCCUGACGGAGCAAUACCGCGUGAGGGAGGAAGGCUCUUGGGUCGUAAACCUCUUUUCUCAGGGAAGAACACAAUGACGGUACCUGAGGAAUAAGCAUCGGCUAACUCCGUGCCAGCAGCCGCGGUAAUACGGAGGAUGCAAGCGUUAUCCGGAAUGAUUGGGCGUAAAGCGUCCGCAGGUGGCAAUGUAAGUCUGCUGUUAAAGAGUCUAGCUCAACUAGAUACAAGCAGUGGAAACUACAUAGCUAGAGUACGUUCGGGGCAGAGGGAAUUCCUGGUGUAGCGGUGAAAUGCGUAGAGAUCAGGAAGAACACCGGUGGCGAAGGCGCUCUGCUAGGCCGUAACU